UACGUAGGGGGCUAGCGUUGUCCGGAAUCAUUGGGCGUAAAGCGCGUGUAGGCGGUCCGGUAAGUCCGCUGUGAAAGUCGAGGGCUCAACCCUCGAAUGCCGGUGGAUACUGUCGGGCUAGAGUGCGGAAGAGGCGAGUGGAAUUCCUGGUGGAGCGGUGAAAUGCGUAGAUAUCGCUUGGAACGCCGACGGUGAAAACAGGUUGCUGGGAAUGUGCCGACGCUGAGACACGAAAGCCAGGGGAGCAAACGGG
rnacentral:rRNA from 1 species